GACGAACGCUGGCGGCGUGCUUAACACAUGCAAGUCGAACGAAGAGCGAUGGAAGCUUGCUUCUAUCAAUCUUAGUGGCGAACGGGUGAGUAACGCGUAAUCAACCUGCCCUUCAGAGGGGGACAACAGUUGGAAACGACUGCUAAUACCGCAUACGAUCUAACCUCGGCAUCGAGGAUAGAUGAAAGGUGGCCUCUACAUGUAAGCUAUCACUGAAGGAGGGGAUUGCGUCUGAUUAGCUAGUUGGAGGGGUAACGGCCCACCAAGGCGAUGAUCAGUAGCCGGUCUGAGAGGAUGGACGGCCACAUUGGGACUGAGACACGGCCCAGACUCCUACGGGAGGCAGCAGUGGGGAAUCUUCCGCAAUAGACGAAAGUCUGACGGAGCAACGCCGCGUGAGUGAUGACGGCCUUCGGGUUGUAAAGCUCUGUUAAUCGGGACGAAAGGCCUUCUUGCGAAUAGUGAGAAGGAUUGACGGUACCGGAAUAGAAAGCCACGGCUAACUACGUG
rnacentral:rRNA from 1 species